GAUGAACGCUGGCGGCGUGCCUAAUACAUGCAAGUCGAGCGAACAGACGAGGAGCUUGCUCCUCUGACGUUAGCGGCGGACGGGUGAGCAACACGUGGAUAACCUACCUAUAAGACUGGGAUAACUUCGGGAAACCGGAGCUAAUACCGGAUAAUAUAUUGAACCGCAUGGUUCAAUAGUGAAAGACGGUUUUGCUGUCACUUAUAGAUGGAUCCGCGCCGCAUUAGCUAGUUGGUAAGGUAACGGCUUACCAAGGCAACGAUGCGUAGCCGACCUGAGAGGGUGAUCGGCUACACUGGAACUGAGACACGGUCCAGACUCCUACGGGAGGCAGCAGUAGGGAAUCUUCCGCAAUGGGCGAAAGCCUGACGGAGCAACGCCGCGUGAGUGAUGAAGGUCCUCGGAUCGUAAAACUCUGUUAUUAGGGAAGAACAAAUGUGUAAGUAACUAUGCACGUCUUGACGGUACCUAAUCAGAAAGCCACGGCUAACUACGUG
rnacentral:rRNA from 1 species